rnacentral:rRNA from 1 species
CUGAACCAGCCAAGUACCGUGCAGGAUGACGGCCCUAUGGGUUGUAAACUGCUUUUGUAUGGGGAUAAAGUCAGUCACGUGUGAUUGUUUGCAGGUACCAUACGAAUAAGGACCGGCUAAUUCCGUGCCAGCAGCCGCGGUAAUACGGAAGGUCCGGGCGUUAUCCGGAUUUAUUGGGUUUAAAGGGAGCGUAGGCUGGACAUUAAGUCAGUUGUGAAAGUUUGCGG